CUGUCUCCGCAUAAAGCAUCUGCUGCUGCAGAGCCUAAAAACUCCAGGAAACAAAGCUCCCUUAGAUGGAAGAAGCUGGGCCAAUGAAACUCUCUCCUCCAUCCUCACCAACUCUCAACCCUGACUGGAAGCGCUGUGGUGCUGAGAUCACAGAGCGGUGUGUCAUUUAGCACCAGUGCAUUUUUCUUUCUUUCUUUCUUUUUUCUUUUUUUUUUUUUGGACAUUUAUCCACUGUGACCUGGGCUGAGACCACCAACUGGAUCUGCCUGGUCUCCAGUGCUUACCUGAAGGCUUCAUCUUUCCCUCCAGUCUCUGGUUUUCUGCAGCACCCAUGUGCUGCUAGCGUUUCUGAACAGCCAUUGUAUGGUGAGCGCUCUCCACCACGAUGCUGAGCUGUGCUGAGGGCAAUGUAAAAAGAUGCAGCCUGGAAGGACCAGUUGUGAGCACUGCCAUCUCAAAGGUCUCUGGCAGCUGAGAGGGAUCCAGAGAGGCACAACAGAAAAAGAUGAUUAACAGGGUGGACUUCUGAGGAAGGAAUAAAAGAGUUAAAAGGGGG